UUAGUAGCGGCGAGCGAAACGGGAAGAGCCCAAACCAACAAGCUUGCUUGUUGGGGUUGUAGGACACUCUAUACGGAGUUACAAAGGACGACAUUAGACGAAUCAUCUGGAAAGAUGAAUCAAAGAAGGUAAUAAUCCUGUAGUCGAAAAUGUUGUCUCUCUUGAGUGGAUCCUGAGUACGACGGAGCACGUGAAAUUCCGUCGGAAUCUGGGAGGACCAUCUCCUAAGGCUAAAUACUCUCUAGUGACCGAUAGUGAACCAGUACCGUGAGGGAAAGGUGAAAAGCACCCCGGAAGGGGAGUGAAAUAGAACCUGAAACCGUGUGCUUACAAGUAGUCAGAGCCCGUUAAUGGGUGAUGGCGUGCCUUUUGUAGAAUGAACCGGCGAGUUACGAUUUGAUGCAAGGUUAAGCAGUAAAUGUGGAGCCGUAGCGAAAGCGAGUCUGAAUAGGGCGUUUAGUAUUUGGUCGUAGACCCGAAACCAGGUGAUCUACCCUUGGUCAGGUUGAAGUUCAGGUAACACUGAAUGGAGGACCGAACCGACUUACGUUGAAAAGUGAGCGGAUGAACUGAGGGUAGCGGAGAAAUUCCAAUCGAACCUGGAGAUAGCUGGUUCUCUCCGAAAUAGCUUUAGGGCUAGCCUCAAGUGAUGAUUAUUGGAGGUAGAGCACUGUUUGGACGAGGGGCCCCUCUCGGGUUACCGAAUUCAGACAAACUCCGAAUGCCAAUUAAUUUAACUUGGGAGUCAGAACAUGGGUGAUAAGGUCCGUGUUCGAAAGGGAAACAGCCCAGACCACCAGCUAAGGUCCCAAAAUAUAUGUUAAGUGGAAAAGGAUGUGGCGUUGCCCAGACAACUAGGAUGUUGGCUUAGAAGCAGCCAUCAUUUAAAGAGUGCGUAAUAGCUCACUAGUCGAGUGACACUGCGCCGAAAAUGUACCGGGGCUAAACAUAUUACCGAAGCUGUGGAUUGUCCUUUGGACAAUGGUAGGAGAGCGUUCUAAGGGCGUUGAAGCAUGAUCGUAAGGACAUGUGGAGCGCUUAGAAGUGAGAAUGCCGGUGUGAGUAGCGAAAGACGGGUGAGAAUCCCGUCCACCGAUUGACUAAGGUUUCCAGAGGAAGGCUCGUCCGCUCUGGGUUAGUCGGGUCCUAAGCUGAGGCCGACAGGCGUAGGCGAUGGAUAACAGGUUGAUAUUCCUGUACCACCUAUAAUCGUUUUAAUCGAUGGGGGGACGCAGUAGGAUAGGCGAAGCGUGCGAUUGGAUUGCACGUCUAAGCAGUAAGGCUGAGUAUUAGGCAAAUCCGGUACUCGUUAAGGCUGAGCUGUGAUGGGGAGAAGACAUUGUGUCUUCGAGUCGUUGAUUUCACACUGCCGAGAAAAGCCUCUAGAUAGAAAAUAGGUGCCCGUACCGCAAACCGACACAGGUAGUCAAGAUGAGAAUUCUAAGGUGAGCGAGCGAACUCUCGUUAAGGAACUCGGCAAAAUGACCCCGUAACUUCGGGAGAAGGGGUGCUCUUUAGGGUUAACGCCCAGAAGAGCCGCAGUGAAUAGGCCCAAGCGACUGUUUAUCAAAAACACAGGUCUCUGCUAAACCGUAAGGUGAUGUAUAGGGGCUGACGCCUGCCCGGUGCUGGAAGGUUAAGAGGAGUGGUUAGCUUCUGCGAAGCUACGAAUCGAAGCCCCAGUAAACGGCGGCCGUAACUAUAACGGUCCUAAGGUAGCGAAAUUCCUUGUCGGGUAAGUUCCGACCCGCACGAAAGGCGUAACGAUUUGGGCACUGUCUCAACGAGAGACUCGGUGAAAUCAUAGUACCUGUGAAGAUGCAGGUUACCCGCGACAGGACGGAAAGACCCCGUGGAGCUUUACUGUAGCCUGAUAUUGAAAUUCGGCACAGCUUGUACAGGAUAGGUAGGAGCCUUUGAAACGUGAGCGCUAGCUUACGUGGAGGCGCUGGUGGGAUACUACCCUAGCUGUGUUGGCUUUCUAACCCGCACCACUUAUCGUGGUGGGAGACAGUGUCAGGCGGGCAGUUUGACUGGGGCGGUCGCCUCCUAAAAGGUAACGGAGGCGCUCAAAGGUUCCCUCAGAAUGGUUGGAAAUCAUUCAUAGAGUGUAAAGGCAUAAGGGAGCUUGACUGCGAGACCUACAAGUCGAGCAGGGUCGAAAGACGGACUUAGUGAUCCGGUGGUUCCGCAUGGAAGGGCCAUCGCUCAACGGAUAAAAGCUACCCCGGGGAUAACAGGCUUAUCUCCCCCAAGAGUUCACAUCGACGGGGAGGUUUGGCACCUCGAUGUCGGCUCAUCGCAUCCUGGGGCUGUAGUCGGUCCCAAGGGUUGGGCUGUUCGCCCAUUAAAGCGGUACGCGAGCUGGGUUCAGAACGUCGUGAGACAGUUCGGUCCCUAUCCGUCGUGGGCGUAGGAAAUUUGAGAGGAGCUGUCCUUAGUACGAGAGGACCGGGAUGGACAUACCUCUGGUGUACCAGUUGUCGUGCCAACGGCAUAGCUGGGUAGCUAUGUGUGGACGGGAUAAGUGCUGAAAGCAUCUAAGCAUGAAGCCCCCCUCAAGAUGAGAUUUCCCAACUUCGGUUAUAAGAUCCCUCAAAGAUGAUGAGGUUAAUAGGUUCGAGGUGGAAGCAUGGUGACAUGUGGAGCUGACGAAUACUAA
rnacentral:rRNA from 1 species